GUCGCACGAGAAAGGGGAGCAAUCCCUGAGUAAAGUGGCGCACGGGUGAGUAACACGUGAAUCAUCUACCUCCGAGUGGGGAAUAACCUAGAGAAAUCUGGGCUAAUACCGCAUAACACUUACGAGUCAAAGCAGCAAUGCGCUUGGAGAGGAGUUCGCGGCCGAUUAGCUAGUUGGCGGGGUAAUGGCCCACCAAGGCGAUGAUCGGUAUCCGGCCUGAGAGGGCGCGCGGACACACUGGAACUGAAACACGGUCCAGACUCCUACGGGAGGCAGCAGUGGGGAAUUUUGCGCAAUGGGGGAAACCCUGACGCAGCAACGCCGCGUGGAGGAUGAAAUAUCUUGGUAUGUAAACUCCUUUCGAUGGGGAAGAUUAUGACGGUACCCAUAGAAGAAGCCCCGGCUAACUUCGUGCCAGCAGCCGCGGUAAUACGAGGGGGGCAAGCGUUGUUCGGAUUUAUUGGGCGUAGAGGGUGCGUAGGCGGUUUGGCAAGUCUUAUGUGAAAUCUUCAGGCUCAACCCGAAGCCUGCAUAAGAAACUGCCGGGCUUGAGUAUGGGAGAGGUGAGUGGAAUUUCCGGUGUAGCGGUGAAAUGCGUAGAUAUCGGAAGGAACACCUGUGGCGAAAGCGGCUCACUGGACCAUAACUGACGCUGAUGCACGAAAGCUAGGGGAGCAAACAGGAUUAGAUACCCUGGUAGUCCUAGCCCUAAACGAUGAUUGUUUGAUGUGGCAGGUACCCAAUCCUGCCGUGUCGAAGCUAACGCGAUAAACAAUCCGCCUG
rnacentral:rRNA from 1 species